GAUGUGUGGUUGCAAUUAUAAUCCCACAGAUGGUAGCUUCGCCCCAUUGGCUCCACAGCCAAGCACAUACGCCAAAUGUCUGAACCUGUGGUUCCUUUUGUACUGAGCAGGAUUAGUACUGUAACAA